GUUUAUUUACCUCCCUUUCUCGUUCGUGUGGCACUUGGUGAGGAGCUUCUGUAAGCCAGGGCAUACAACGAACUUUCAAAUUGGAGCAAAUACAAAACAUCAGGAUCUGGCAGAAGUGGGCUUCCAGCAUGAGCGUGCGUGAAAUAAUGCGAGAAUACAAAACAACGAAGAGGGGUUUGGAGUCCCGGUAUUAAAGGACCCUCAGUUAUGCACACCAACAAACAGGAACGGGAUCUUCAACCCAAGGGCAACAACUGGAACAGAAAUGGGACAGUGGGAAAAUAGAAGAGCUAACUGAGUGUGAUUUUAAAAAAAGCACUGAAGCACAAUGGAUAAUAGAAUUUGAGCUGGCCUUACAGAUGAACAAGCCUGAGAAAGACCCAAAGGAGGGUUGCCAUUAAACUGUUGGAAAGCUAAUGAAUAGGAUGCAUAGAUCCCAAAGCCUUGAGAUUACAAUGUCGAGCUAAUAACAUAAGUUUAUGGGGACUUUGCAUAGAAGUGUCCAUCUCUGAUUAGGUGACCACAGGAAUCCGUGUUUAGAUUAGGGGGGAAAGGCAAUGACUAUAUUGUGUUUGAUUACUGUAACACAAAACAUAUUAAAAUGCUAUAUUCCUUUGUAAAGCAAAGAGUGUGUCAUUGAUCUAU